AAGCGACUUUUUGCAGCUUUUGGCCUACCGAAACAUCCCGAAUGUGGUUGCAAUCGGAACAUUGACUCACCUCACUGCGCAUGCGCAGAAGUCACCUUCUUCCUGUGUAACGUAAACAAGGAAAAUUUUCCCCUCCAGUACGACAAAAAGGUUAUUGCCAAUUACUGUAUGAAUCUAUGUUCAACAAAGUCUUUGGUUCAUGUGCAAACACCUUAGAUGUCAUCAACUUUCAAGAGGUAUAUCAUUAUCACAAUGCCUGAAUGGGAUAAUUAACCUCACAGAUGAAAAAGACAGUGUCCUGAUUGUUUUUCCCUGCCUAAAGAAUAUUGAAGAGAACAGAAGAGGUGUGUUGUCCUGACUGGCUUCAAUUAUUGCAUAUGCAAAUAUGACUUUUUUGAUACAAAGUAAUAAAUUGUAACUUUAUUUUGGAAUGGCAUCUGAUUAACCUUUACAUAAAAUGUUUGUUUUUUUUAAAGGAAAGUAAUAAAAUUAUUGUAAACAUCA